rnacentral:lncRNA from 1 species
ACACCCCACACACAUUCAAUCACAGCCUCAAGUUCAAAAGUGAAUUAAAACUCAAAGAAGCCUGGGGACAGGGACAAGGGUACUUCUGUCAUUCAUUCUCUUCCCCUGCUUCCUUGGGGACAAGGGUGGCCUGGAGGAACAAUAGUGUCCCCUGGCCCCUUCUUCCUGCAUUGGGUUAGAAAAGGCAGCAGAAAGCAGUGGGGAUGACAAAGACACACACACACACACACACACACACACACACACACACACACACACACACACCAGGCUUGAGAUGGGAGGAGGGGGAGUCUCUGGCUGGACGAACAGACUGUUAUUUUGGUGGUGGGCACAGUCCCAGAUAGGGGCAGCGUCCCCCUUUUUCCUGGCUUUCCAGGGAGAGCAGCAAGAGAAAGAAAGAAGCAAACGAAAUUCCUGAAUGGAUAAGAGAUGCUACGUCAGCGGUACUGGAGCCGCAUCCUCCACUCCACGAGAAAGGAAGAGAAGAGCAAGGAGAGACCAGCCGGGGCGGCAGCGGCAGCGGCCAGUGGCCUCUCCGUGCGUGCUGCACAGAGGCAAGAAGCAGCCAUCCAUCCAGAAGCUGCCUCCGGUUGGUUCUGUUUGUCUGGAUGACAUCGUAGGUGGCCGGCAUCUCUGGCUUUGGGGUAUUUAUUUCCUUCCUUGCUUUGAUGGUGGUGUGGGUGGGGGAGGGGAAAAAAGGAAGCUAGUCCUGUUCCACCCCAGCUCUCCACCCAACUCACUGUCUCUUCUAGGCUCCAGCCUUUGAUUUUGGUCCAUUUUGUAGUAAGAACUGCAUUGUCAACGCUAAGAAGCAAUGCAAACAACAUAGCCUGGGGACAAAAGGCCACCCUGUGUCUGGUUCGUUGCAUAGAGGAAAGCACACUCCCUCUUCUUCCACAGCUUCCUGGGGAUGAGAUGGGGGUCUUUGACUCUGGGGAAGUGGUUGAGAAAGGUUUGAGAAAGGGACAGAGAUAGCUAAGGGGGUGGCAGGUGAGCCAGGAGAGCAGUAUAGAUUGGGAUGGAAGGGGUGGGGAGCUGGGUCCUUAAGUCGCUGAGUGGGUUCGUGAGCACCUUUAAGCAUUGGGAGAUAAUGCUGCUUGCCUUGUCCAUGAAUUUACCACUGAAUGUGUCUGAGUUUAUGGAUGUGAGUGUGCAUGCCUGUGAUUGAGUGUGGGUGUGCUUUACACACUCACGCUUUUGACCAGAGAAGAGCUUAUGGGAAACAUGGAUGACUAAGCUGACCCUGGGCCAUCUUGGUCAUUUCCCUACAAUGUAGGGCUGGGGCAAUAGGCAUGUGAGUCCGUAGGGAGCUGGGAAGACCAUGAGCUGGGAAGGCUGAAAAUGCUCCCACUCCAGAAAGGGUGUGUCCCAGGGGCCACCUCCAGGCAUCCUAACUUCAUCUGUGCAUUGCUAACUGCUGUUACUUUUAUUUGUCCCAAUGCUAUACACAUUGCAGGCAUUCAAUGACAGAAUACUGUUUAACAGUAGCCACAGUAAUUAGCUUCUGUUGCAGAGUUAAGUACACCCUCAGAUAAAGCUCUGAGUGUAUCUUUAAGACAAAUCCACCUUGCAAACAAGGAAAAACUAUGUUUUUAUUAUACUCUUUUGUACUACUUUACUAUUUCAGGAAAGUGCUUUACUGCCAAAGUUUAUGUAAAGACUCAAAAGGUCCCAUCCAGACAGCAUAACUGAUCCUGUGCUUCUGUCUCUGUAGGCCCUUCAGACUCAGAGACAAUAGGUGGGCAGCUGUAUUGAGAGGGGACAUUGGCUUCAGUUGUAGCUGUGCCUCAAGGCUUGGGUGCUUGCCUAGUAUAUACUGAGUCCUGGGUUUGAUCCCAGGGACCCCCCCCAAAGGAUGAAGGCUUCUAGAACACCCACAGACCCCUAUUAGCACAAAGAGUUGAAAUGUCCUCCCAAGAAGUAGUCACAGUGAGAACCACAGGCCACCAGACCGCUUUGUGCUGGAGGAGACAGAAAGGGCUCUGCUCCUUGGGAGACAGGCUGGUGAGCCCUCUGGACUAUUGUGCCAGCUGUGAGUCCUGCAGACUUGCUGCAUCCAGUGCUGUUCUCUGUUGUCUCCUCUGACACAGAUAUAUUUCUCAAAGAUUCUGCAUGAACCUUACCUACUUUUUUUGGUUUGUGGAGGAAGAA